rnacentral:lncRNA from 1 species
AAUAUUGGAGUCUUUCACCGGGAUCAAACUUUAAAGUACUCAAAUCAAAUUCUUGAGAAGAAUGUGAUGGUACUUCUAGAAUGAUUGACAUUUUCUUCUUGGUUAGAUUGACUAUGACUAUGAGAGGCUAAACUUGAUUUCGAUAUUGGGGUAAAAUACUUCUUCAUUGAAUAUUAAGAUUUAAGACUGGGUUGUAAAGUAAAAGUUUAGUUAGAAUUUAAGAGAAAUAAGCACACAUUCAGAAGUCAGAACUAUUAAAUAAGGACCAAAAUCAAAAAGGGCCAAAACCAAAAAGCUUAAAAGAGAAAUAAACACACACACAAUAAGGACCAAAACCAAAAAGCUUAAGCAAUGGUUAUUUGAUUAUUACAUUAUAUUUCUCUAUCUCUCUAAUUUUAGAUUAAGAAAAUAUAUUAAAUUAGCCAAACAAAAAAUUGAAACUUCAAUGAUAUCAAUAAUUCAGCCAACUAAAAGAAAGCACAUCAAGAAAUAACGAAAUAAGGUAUAUAGAAAUCUAGUAAGAAAAAGGGGAACCAAAAACAUACCCAAGUAGUUAUUAAUGGAGAUGAAAGAAACAAUAGCAGCAAGCAGGCAGCAGCAGUGAGUCAGUGACAAAGAGCACUGGAGCAGGCGAGCAGCCAGCAGCAACAAGGCACAAGCAGCAGCCAACAACAAGCAGCAGCCAGAGCAAGGAAGAACGAAGAAGAGCAAUGAAAAAAAUAAAACGUGAAAAAAUCCUAAAAGAGGAAAAGGGUAUUUUAAUAUUUGACUUUGUAAUUAGGGAUUAUCAGGGUUUUAAAAAAGAAUAAAAGGGCUUUUUAAUAUUUCAUUUUAUAAUUAGGGAUUAAACUACUAAAUCUUAAAUUCCCGCCUAAAAUAUAAGCUGAGAAAAAAAAUUGCCUCUCUUUGGAUUCGAACACGCGACCUCAGGGGCAGGAGCGCGAAUUCUUGAACCCCAAUGCCACUGAGC